rnacentral:rRNA from 1 species
UACGUAGGGGGCUAGCGUUGUCCGGAAUCAUUGGGCGUAAAGCGCGUGUAGGCGGUCCGGUAAGUCCGCUGUGAAAGUCGAGGGCUCAACCCUCGAAUGCCGGUGGAUACUGUCGGGCUUGAGUACGGGAGAGGCGAGUGGAAUUCCUGGUGUAGCGGUGAAAUGCGCAGAUAUCAGGAGGAACACCAAUUGCGAAGGCAGCUCGCUGGGACGUUACUGACGCUGAGACGCGAAAGCCAGGGGAGCAAACGGG